UGGUCAAGUUAUUAAGGGUGCAGGGCGGAUGCCUUGGCACUAGGAGCCGAUGAAGGACGUGAUAAGCUGCGAUAAGCUUCGGGGAGUUGCACGUAAACUUUGAUCCGAAGAUUUCCGAAUGAGGAAACUCACUUAGAGUAAUGUCUAAGUAUCAUUAAGUGAAUACAUAGCUUAAUGAGGGGAACUCAGGGAACUGAAACAUCUAAGUACCUGAAGGAAGAGAAAGAAAUUCGAUUCCGUAAGUAGCGGCGAGCGAACGCGGAUUAGCCCAAACCAAUAAAGUUUUCUUUAUUGGGGUUGCGGACAUAUCAUAACGAAGAGGUAUCGUAAUUGAAGAGGUUUGGAAAGACCCACCACAGAAGGUAAUAGUCCUGUAUGUUAAACGAGAAGACUUCAGAUAUGAUCCAGAGUACCACGGGACACGUGAAACCCUGUGGGAAGCAGGAGGGACCACCCUCCAAGGCUAAAUACUACCUAGUGACCGAUAGCGUAUAGUACCGUGAGGGAAAGGUGAAAAGAACCCCGGGAGGGGAGUGAAAUAGAACCUGAAACCCUGC
rnacentral:rRNA from 1 species